rnacentral:rRNA from 1 species
GACGAACGCUGGCGGCGUGCUUAACACAUGCAAGUCGAACGGAAAGGCCCUGCUUUUGUGGGGUGCUCGAGUGGCGAACGGGUGAGUAACACGUGAGUAACCUGCCCUUGACUUUGGGAUAACUUAAGGAAACUGGGGCUCAUACCGGAUAGGAGCUCCUGCCGAAUGGUGGGGGGUGGAAAGUUUCGGCGGUUGGGGAUGGACUCGCGGCGUAUCAGCUUGUUGGUUGGGUAGUGAAUUACCAAGGCAUUGACGGGUCGCAGGCCUGGGAGGUUGACCGGCGCCGUUGGAGCUGAGCUAAGACCCAGACGAGUACGCGAGGCGACAGUGGGGAGGAUUGCAUAAUGCGAUGAAGCCUGAUGAAACAUCGCCUCGUGCCGGAAGACAUCCUGGCGGUUGGAAACCGCUUUCGUCUGAGAAGAAGCGUGAGUGACGGUAAUGGGUAAAGAAGCACCGGCUAACUACGUG